UUAAGAACAUUAAUUAUAAAGUCAUACCCCGAAAGGUUUAUCUUUUAAAUCAUUAAAAAGUAAUUAUAAAUAAUGUACCUUUUGCAUCAGGGGUUAAGAAAUAAGAUUAUUAAAUUAAUAACCUCCCGAAAGAAGCAGGAUCUUAAACUUUAUUGUUGGUUGUUGUUUCAUUAACAUUAAUAAUAAUAUUUAAGAAGCUAAAAGUUAUAACGACUCUUCUGAUCACCUGGUUUGCUAUUUAGUGUUUUUUAAGAAGGCAGAGAGUUAAUUGAAGUUUAAGCACUUUAUUAUUUUCUUUUAAUUAUAAAGGGACAAGCUUUUAUAACUUUAGGAAGAUCAAUUUAUAGCUUAUCUUCAUGACAAGAUAGACGUUAUUUAUCUAUUUAUAGAUCUACCUUUAGAAUAGCAUCUUUAGUGAAAUAAUUUUUAACUAUAAAAAUAAUCUUAACAUUAGUACUUCAAUAAAUCAAUUAUUAAAAGGAACUAGGCAAACAUUUAGCCGGACUGUUUAAUAAAAACAUUUCCUCUUGCAUAAAAGGGAGGUAAAGUCUGCUCGGUGUAAUUGAUUAACAGCUGCAGUAACUUGACUGUACAAAGGUAGCGUAAUCACUUGUCUUUUAAUUGAAGACUAGAAUGAACGGCUUAACCAAGCUAAUUCUGUCUCUUUU
rnacentral:rRNA from 2 species